CUGUGAGCUCGAUGAGUAGGGCGGGACACGUGGUAUCCUGUCUGAAUAUGGGGGGACCAUCCUCCAAGGCUAAAUACUCCUGACUGACCGAUAGUGAACCAGUACCGUGAGGGAAAGGCGAAAAGAACCCCGGCGAGGGGAGUGAAAAAGAACCUGAAACCGUGUACGUACAAGCAGUGGGAGCACAGGUUUACCUGUGUGACUGCGUACCUUUUGUAUAAUGGGUCAGCGACUUAUAUUCUGUAGCAAGGUUAACCGUAUAGGGGAGCCGUAGGGAAACCGAGUCUUAACCGGGCGUUAAGUUGCAGGGUAUAGACCCGAAACCCGGUGAUCUAGCCAUGGGCAGGUUGAAGGUUGGGUAACACUAACUGGAGGACCGAACCGACUAAUGUUGAAAAAUUAGCGGAUGACCUGUGGCUGGGGGUGAAAGGCCAAUCAAACCGGGAGAUAGCUGGUUCUCCCCGAAAGCUAUUUAGGUAGCGCCUCGUGAACUCAUCUCCGGGGGUAGAGCACUGUUUCGGCUAGGGGGCCAUCCCGGCUUACCAACCCGAUGCAAACUGCGAAUACCGGAGAAUGUUAUCACGGGAGACACACGGCGGGUGCUAACGUCCGUCGUGAAGAGGGAAACAACCCAGACCGCCAGCUAAGGUCCCAAAGUCAUGGUUAAGUGGGAAACGAUGUGGGAAGGCCCAGACAGCCAGGAUGUUGGCUUAGAAGCAGCCAUCAUUUAAAGAAAGCGUAAUAGCUCACUGGUCGAGUCGGCCUGCGCGGAAGAUGUAACGGGGCUAAACCAUG
rnacentral:rRNA from 1 species